ensembl:lncRNA
CUCAAGCUAACUCACCAUGGCUAGAGCUAACCUUAACUCAAGCUAACUCACCAUGACUAGAGCUAACCUUAACUCAAGCUAACGCACCAUGACUAGAGCCAACCUUAACUAAAUCUGACUCACUAUGACUAGAGCCAACCAUAACUAAAGCUAACUCACUAUGACUAGAGCUAACCAUUCCAAUCCCUAUCUAUCCGCUAUCAUUACCUAACUAACUAGGACGCUAGUGUCCUACCUCUAACUAUAACUAGCUCUGUGACUCUAGGUGACAUCAUGUGACCUGGCAUCUUGACGCCGCUCUGAACGCCCUCGUCCUCCUCCUCCUUGUGCAUGCGGGGGCCUCAUCGUCAUGGUGAUCCAAUAAGGGGAGGAACUUGGCAGCAUCCUCUGAUUCCACUUCCUUGUCCUGGCCACGCCUCCCCUCGAACUGGCUCCUCCCACCAUAUCUGAUGACAUCAUGCACAUUAACCCGUAGCUAGCGUUCUAUUGGCUGCUCAGCAGAGGGACAGGUUGACGCCCCUUCAGGUGAACUCACCUGGCCAGGGCUUCCGUCUGGAAGUAGCACAGGAAGGCGGAGCCUCUGAACUGCUGCACCAGCGCCUCCACCUUCUCCUGGUCCUCCCACUGCACCUGGGCCAGCGUCUUCCCCCUGAAGGACUCUGGGAUGUAGCGGGGGCGGGGCCUCAGCUCCUCAACGGGGACACACCUGUAGCCCACCUGUAGGCCACGCCCACCGUCUGCUGGGAGGGUCCUGAGGGCACAGUCUAAAGGUCGGCUCCUCCCCCUGUCCGCUGGGAGGGUCCUGUCGGCGGAGUCUAGAGGUCGGCUCAACUCCCUGUCUGCUGGGAGGGUCCUGAGGGCGGAGUCUAGAGGUCGGCUCCACCCCCUCUCCGCCGGGAGGGUCCUGAGGGCGGAGUCUAGAGGUCGGCUCCACCCCCUCUCCACCGGGAGGGUCCUGAGGGCGGAGUCUAGCUGCUGGGCGUACACCUGGUUAUCCAGCCUCACCUGGCUCUCCGUCAGACAGGUCAGCUUCCAGGCCUCCGAUUGGCCCAUCUGGGUGGGUGGGCAGGGCCCCCUGCUCUCUAAGGUCGCCUGAAGAGACAGAAGACGCUGAUGAAGGAGGGUUAGGGUUAGGGUUAGUGCUGCGCCGAGCGGUCAACCUGGUCACAUCCUUCCUACUCUUACCUGUACAGGUGUGUCUCAUCCUAACUGGUCUUACCUGUAAAGGUGUGGCUCAUGUUACCUGGUCUUACCUGUACAGGUGUGUCUCAUGUUACCUGGUCUUACCUGUACAGGUGUGUGGCAUGUUACCUGGUCUUACCUGUACAGGUGUGUCUCUGGUUAACUGGUCUUACCUGUACAGCUGUGUCUCAUGUUACCUGGUCUUACCUGUACAGCUGUGUCUCAUGUUACCUGGUCUUACCUGUACAGGUGUGUCUCAUGUUACCUGGUCUUACCUGUACAGGUGUGUCCCAGGAGUCGCUCGCACUCGUCCUCUGAGAACCAGACGAGCUGUAGUGGAAGCUCUCCGUCCCCCCCUGCAGGAGGCCGGGGGAACUACAGCCAGACCCCCUGGUGAGGAGGGGGGGGGGGCCGGGGGAACUACAGCCAGACCCCUGGUGAGGAGGGGGGCCGGGGGAACCACAGCCAGUCCCCUUGGAGAGGAGGGGGAGGGGCCCGGUAGGGGGAGGGGCCCGGUAGGGGGGAGGGGCCAGGCUGUGCGGCGUAGAAUGAGGAAGAGGAGGAGGAAGGUUUUCUCCUGCGCUCAGUCUUCCUGUGGCACUUCCUGUGAACCGAGAAGGGGGCGGAGACAAGUGAGUAUUGGAGGGGCAUGUCUUCCCCAGGUGAGUGUGGGAGGGGCAUGUCUUCCCCAGGUGAGUGUUGGAGGGGCGUGUCUUCCCCAGGUGAGUGUGGGAGGGGCAUGUCUUCCCCAGGUGAGUGUGGGACGGGCGUGUCUUCCCGAGGUGGGUGUGGGAGGGGCGUGUCUUCCCCAGGUGAGUGUGGGAGGGGCGUGUCUUCCCCAGGUGAGUGUAGGAGGGGCGUGUCCUCCCGAGGUGGGUGUGGGAGGGGCGUGUCUUCCCGAGGUGGGUGUUUGAGGGGCGUGUCUUCAGGUGACUGUCUUGUGUCGUGCUCUGUGAUUGGUGAAAAGGACCCAUCAAGCACCGCCUCCCCAAACAGCAGCCUCUCUGAUUGGCUGUGGUGGGCCGCUGGGGGGCCUGAGAGGGGGUCCCGCCUCCCUAGCGACUGGCCGUCGCCGUGGGAGACGCCGGGCCCUGGAAACGGGGGGGUCCGCAUGGGGGGCUGAAACCC